UUCCUACGGGAGGCUGCAGUAGGGAAUAUUGCACAAUGGGCGAAAGCCUGAUGCAGCAACGCCGCGUGCACGAUGAAGGCCUUCGGGUCGUAAAGUGCUUUUCGGGGAGACGAGGAAGGACGGUAUCCCCGGAAUAAGGAUCGGCUAACUACGUGCCAGCAGCCGCGGUAAAACGUAGGAUCCGAGCGUUAUCCGAAUUCACUGGGCGUAAAGCGCGUGCAGGCGGAUCAGUAAGUUGGAUGUAAAAUCUCCUGGCUCAACUGGGAGGGGACGUACAAGACUGCUGGACUAGAGGAUGGCAGAGGAAGGUGGAAUUCCCGGUGUAGUGGUGAAAUGCGUAGAUAUCGGGAGGAACACCAGAGGCGAAGGCGGCCUUCUGGGCCAUACCUGACGCUCAGACGCGAAAGCUAGGGUAGCAAACGGGAUUAGAUACCCGGGUAGUCCG
rnacentral:rRNA from 1 species